AGAAAUUCUUCAUCCUAUACCUGCGAUAUUUUAAAGAAUCUCUUUAAAGCAUCUCUAAAGCUGGUCAACUGGCUUUGAUGCAGAUGCAGUUCCUAUUCUAAAAUGGAGAAAAGAAGAAUAUUACUGCACCAGAGGACAGGAUAUUAUGACUCUCACAGCUCUGAAGGGAAAAUUCUCCAAUAUGUCUACCAGAUACCAGUUGGCUGGUGUAAAGUACACAAGGAUCCAGGAAACGAAAUGUGUCAUCCCUCACCUCUAAGAGAGAACCAUAUUUCUUGAACACUGGAUAGGCUUCCACCGAAACACUCAUACAGUAGCUUAAUGUAUGGCUGUUACUUUAUUGGCUUCAUUGAACAUAUUUGUCCUGUAUUACAAAUAAAACAA